rnacentral:rRNA from 1 species
AAUGGGAUUAGAUACCCCAGUAGUCCACACCGUAAACGAUGGGUAUUAGAUAUUAGGGCUUUAGCUUUAGUGUUGUAGCUUACGCGUUAAAUACCCCGCCUGGGUAGUACAUAUGCAAAUAUGAAACUCAAAGGAAUUGACGGGGACCUGAACAAGUGGUGGAGCAUGUUGCUUAAUUCGAUAAUACACGAAAAACCUUACCAAGGUUUGACAUCCCUCGCAAAGCUAUAGAAAUAUAGUAGAGGUUAU